CCUCUCUCAGGAUCGCACCUGGAGAGUUUCCUGUACUCUACCAGUCUCGACUAUGGGAGGGAGAGUCAAGCAGAGGCCUAUCCAUUCCAUUCCUUGCUUGCGCAGUGGCCAGCGAGUGGAAGGCCAUCUGCUACAAGU